GUCUAGGUAGCAAAGAAGUUAAUGCAGAAGGUUUAGGUCCUUCUAUCAAGGGUGCAAUUCCUUUUCUAGACU
rnacentral:tRNA from 1 species